AAUCCAGAAUUUUUUUUAAAAAAACAGCAGAGUGGCCCAAUGGUCACAGAAAAUCAUAAAAAUGCAGAAAAAAAACCACAAGCUUCCGGAUUCUUGCAAACCCCUCCCCAACACCAAGUCCUUGAAUUCCAAACACCCCAACCCCAAAUCCAACCCCCCCCAAAAAGUUUUAAAAGUUUAACUUACCAAAUGGCUGCAAAAGAAGUUUUGGAAAAGCUUCAAAAAUCACCAAAGUCUUCAAAAACCUCAAAAAAGGCUACCACACCGCGUGCUAUGAGUUGCUCCUCGAAGUCAAGUCGCAACUGCACCUCUUCAAGCAAUGCACCCUGGGUAUUAACGGUUUUACGAAAAAGGAAACAAACUUGCAAGACGUUUUCGUCUUGCGAAGCAAGCCCAUAGGGAAAUUCGUCUUGCGAAGCACCUC